GAUCGGGGUGUCGAACGACGAAGGGGUGGGUCGCAUGGAACGGACGUGGUGGAUGGUUUGGAAAGGGGACGGAAAGCGACGGGAGCGAAGGGGAGAAGCCGAUGGACAGAGUUUGGAUCAAGAAGUGUCGAGCUCUACCCUAGAAGAUUACAUCCGAGGGAAAGAGAGGAGAAACUCGAGGGCCGAUGGGUGGCGACCUCGACGUGGGGGCGCAUCACUCGGACGUGGUGGAUGUUUUGGACGAAGGGAGACGGGAACAACGGGAGCGAAGGGGAGGAGACAAUGCAUACCGUUUGGAUCAAGAUGUUUAAACUGUGCCCUAAUCGGUUGCAUUCUAGGCAGAGUGGAGAGAAUCUCGAGUGACAUUGUUCUGAGGGAAGGGGUUGAAUCGAUUGAUUUCCGGCGUUCAAGGAUGACAAGACACAGAUCCCUGGCCUAGAAGCAGAAAUGAGAUGGAAUUCUGCUUCUUGAUGUCAACAUAAUUCUAGGAGCUGGAGAUUAUUGUGCAUGGGCAGCACUUCCAGUUUACACACAAGGAGAGCCAACAGAAGGUGUGGGCAGGUCGUUCGUCACUGACAAAGGUAAUCGAAAGCCCACGAGGAAAAGAAGGGAAUGCUGUAAAAGGU